GCACCCAUAGCUCAACUGGAUAGAGUGUUUGACUACGAAUCAAAAAGGUUAGGGGGUUCGACUCCCUUUGGGUGCA
rnacentral:tRNA from 1 species